GAUGAACGCUGGCGGCGUGCCUAAUACAUGCAAGUCGAGCGAACGGACGAGAAGCUUGCUUCUCUGAUGUUAGCGGCGGACGGGUGAGUAACACGUGGAUAACCUACCUAUAAGACUGGGAUAACUUCGGGAAACCGGAGCUAAUACCGGAUAAUAUUUUGAACCGCAUGGUUCAAAAGUGAAAGACGGUCUUGCUGUCACUUAUAGAUGGAUCCGCGCCGCAUUAGCUAGUUGGUAAGGUAACGGCUUACCAAGGCAACGAUGCAUAGCCGACCUGAGAGGGUGAUCGGCCACACUGGAACUGAGACACGGUCCAGACUCCUACGGGAGGCAGCAGUAGGGAAUCUUCCGCAAUGGGCGAAGGCCUGACGGAGCAACGCCGCGUGAGUGAUGAAGGUCUUCGGAUCGUAAAACUCUGUUAUUAGGGAAGAACAUAUGUGUAAGUAACUGUGCACAUCUUGACGGUACCUAAUCAGAAAGCCACGGCUAACUACGUG
rnacentral:rRNA from 1 species